UGCCAGCCGCCGCGGUAAUACAGAGGGUGCGAGCGUUAAUCGGAAUUACUGGGCGUAAAGGGCACGUAGGUUGGUAUUUAAGUCAGAUGUGAAAUCCUCGAGCUCAACUUGAGAACUGCAUUUGAAACUGGAUACCUAGAGUUUGGUAGAGGGAAGUGGAAUUUCCGAUGUAGCGGUGAUAUGCAUAGAUAUCGGAAGGAACACCAGUGGCGAAGGCGGCUUCCUGGACCAAUACUGACACUGAGGUGCGAAAGCGUGGGUAGCAAACAGGAUUAGAUA
rnacentral:rRNA from 1 species